CUAGGCUCUUUCUCAGAUUUAGAACUGGGCUCUUUCUCAGAUUUAGAACUGGUCUCUUUCUCAGAUUUAGAGCUGGGCUCUUUCUCAGAUUUAGAACUGGUCUCUUUCUCAGAUUUAGAGCUGGGCUCUUUCUCAGAUUUAGAGCUGGGUUCUUUCUCAGAUUUAGAACUGGGCUCUUUCUCAGAGGUAGAACUAGGCUCUUUGCCUGAUUCAGAAGUGGUUUCUUCCUGUGAUUCAAUGCUAGGCACUUUCUCUGAUAUAGAAAUGUUCUCUUUCCCUGAUUUAGAACGGGAAUCUUUCUUCAAUAUGGAACUUUGGUCUUUCUCUGAUUUGGAGCUUGGGUCUUUCUCUGAUUUUGAAUUGGAAUCUUUCUCAGACGUGGAACUAGAAUCUUUGCCUCUUGAGUCAGUCCUUUUAUCACUUUCUGCUUUGAGUUGAGUCUCUUCAGACUUUGGAGUGUCUAUUACAUCUGGCUUUGCCUGAGAAUCUUUCUGUUGCCCCCAUCUACUUUUCCUUCCUGCCUUCUCUUUCUCAUCACUUUUUAUUUCUUGAGCUUUAGUUUCA